GGGGAUUUAGCUCAAUGGUAGAGCACUUGCCUAGCAAGCACAAGGCCCUGGGUUCGGUCCCCAGCUCCG
rfam:Rattus norvegicus chromosome 19, whole genome shotgun sequence.